GAUGAACGCUAGCUACAGGCUUAACACAUGCAAGUCGAGGGGCAGCAUGAACAUAGCUUGCUAUGUUUGAUGGCGACCGGCGCACGGGUGCGUAACACGUAUCCAAUCUGCCCGUUACUCGGGGAUAGCCUUCUGAAAGGAAGAUUAAUACCCGAUGGCAUUCAUUUGCGGCAUCGCUUUUGAAUUAAAGAUUUAUCGGUAACGGAUGAGGAUGCGUACGAUUAGCUGGUUGGCGGGGUAACGGCCCACCAAGGCGACGAUCGUUAGGGGUUCUGAGAGGAAGGUCCCCCACACUGGAACUGAGACACGGUCCAG
rnacentral:rRNA from 1 species